ensembl:lncRNA
UAGAAACAGCAUAUACUGUAUACACACACACUCUCUUGUAUGCACGUUUUAAUCGAGUUUUUAAACAAGUAGAACUUCAGAUUGUUACAAUUUUUAAUACAGUGGGGAAAUGCACGCAUGAAGCCAUCCUGCAGUGCAGUGCAGUGCCCUUUUUAUGCCUUCAGUUGUUACUGUGGUGUUUCAACAACACAUACUGCUGAUCGUGUGUGUGUGCUGUUGUGUGAAUGGUGAUGUGUGUGUGUGUGUAUGUUCUGAAUGUACAUCUUCAAGUUUGUGUUUUGAUUUGAUUUUGUACAGGACCCAUAAUGUGGGUUGGGGGGUGUGAUUUCGGCCGUGUGUGUAUAUGUAUGUAUAUAUAUAUGUGUGUGUGUGUAUGUGUAUAUAUAUGUGUGUAUAUAUAUAUAUAUAUAUAUAUAUAUAUAUAUAUAUAUAUAUAUAUAUAUAUAUAUAUAUAUUACAUACACACAUGUAUUAUGUAUGUACAUAUGAGCGUGCACACACAUACAGUAGAUGUAUAAAGGGAAUUGAGGAGCUGCAGCUCUGUGGAUGAGUGUGUCUCUACUUUCUGCACCUGUAAGGCUGUAUCAUAACUGUGUAACCUAGGGGUCUGCUACAGAGGCAAGAAUUCCACACAGUACAAGCACUGGGAAGUUGUAGUCCUAGUUUCAUUGCUUAGAAACACCAGAGUCAUCACUCAGCAAGUGUAGCAGAGGAAUCAUUAAACUGUGCUGUGCAGAACUCUGCACAGCUCUGUGUGAUUGCACCCCCCCAACUGCAGCCAGCCUCCUGCUGUAAAACACCCAGACACUCAGCUGUACAAUUCUGCAGGCUUUGAUGUAAAGAGAUUUUUAUUAAAUGAGAAUUUGAAAUGUCUCUCUCGCUCUUCGGUCUCUGUGUUUAUGCUGGUUACUGAUCUCAGUUAGCAUGAGAGCUGAGUGAGUGAGAUGGAGUGAGUUUUAUGUGUCUUGUUUUAUUUAGCCUUUUCUGUUUGUUUUCUGAACAGAUCAGACAUUUUUGCUUCUGUUGUUCUUCAAAUCGUCUUGAUGAGCUCAAUAUAAAUAUAAUCUAUUCCACCAGCUGACUGCUCUCAUGUCAUUGUCUCAUGUCUCGUGAGAUACUGUGUGUGUGUGCGCCAUCUUAAGCAGUCCCUUAAUGGAGUUCAAUGUUAUGCAGACCAUCACACUUCAUGGAAAAGGUGUGGUGGUGACCUCCACAGCAUGUUACAUUUAGUGGAUUUACAGGACUGAUAUAUGACCAAAAGUAUGUGGACACCUCACCAUUACACCGAUAUGCUGUCUUUCCCCAGACCGUUGCCACUAAGUUGAAAACAGUUGUAUAGGAUGUUUGUAUGAUGUAGCUUUAAGAUUUCCCUUCACUAGAAUUACAAGGCACAAACCCAUUCCAGCAUGACAAUACACAUUCACAAAAUGUGAUCCAUGGUUUGCCAAGGUUGGUAGGGAAGAACUCAAAGUGGCCUGCACAGGCCUCAACCCCUCUGAACACCUUGUGAACUGGAACGCUGACUGUCCACCAGGCCUAAGGUCAGUAUCUGACCUCAUUAAAGCUCUUGUAGCUAAAUGGGCUGAAAUCUAGUGGAAAGCCUUCCCAAAAGAGUGGAGGCUGUUCUAGCAGUGAAGGGGAGUCCAACGUUGGAAUGAGAUAUUCAACAAGCACAUAUAGGUGUGAUGGUCAGGUAUCUACAUAAACAUUUUGGGGAUAUAGUGUAUGCAUGUAUAAAGCCACUUUGAGUUAAAUUGUGUGAAAUGCCAAAAGAAAAAACAAGUCUUAAAAGUAAAAAUUUCUCCUAUAUGUAAGCCUAAAAAUGUAAACAAUGUGCAAAAAUUAUUAGAGCGUAAGAGUACUCUUGAAAGCGCGAGUAUUUAGAAAUGCUUUAGAGAUGUCUCAAACUGUUAUGAGAAGGAAAAGAUGGCAGCACUGAGACAGAAAACACAUGCACCUACUAAUUUUUGUGUGCUCAUUAUGGUUACGCAGGGUUUACUCACAUGGAGCUUCACAUUUUUAAAGCAGAAUACAGAUGUUUUAAUGUGUAAAUUGUUAAUUUAAUUUUUAAUUUAAAAAAUUUGUAAAUAGG